rnacentral:lncRNA from 12 species
CCACUGUUAUAAAAAUCAGUCAGAGUAUUUAUCUGGUCCCGGAGACCGCCCUGGGCUUUCCCGCCCGCCGGGGCCCGGGGGGGGGAGCACCCCCCCCCCCCGCCAGCUGCAGGUUCCGAGUGGCGGGAGCGCGGAGCCCGCAGGAGAGGGCGGCCCCCAGGUCAGCCGCAGGCCCCCGCGCCAGGGCGAGCGGCGUCGCGGCCGCAAGAUCCUUUUCUUCCCGGGAGGGAGCGGCCCCUCGAUCCCGUGGAGGGUGGAGGCUCCCCGGUGGCGUCCUCCCGCCCCCCGGGGCCCGGAGGGGGCCGUGGGAUUAGGCUGGAGUGACUAUUCCUUGGGCUCGGCACACGUUCAAGGAUUGGUUCCAGACGUCCACGAGCAAGCCAGGACGAAGCCCUUUCCCGCCAAACCACGGAAGGCUGGGAGACAAGCAGCGCCUGCCCCAACUCCGGGAGUGGGAACCCGGGAGAAGACUGGAGGGGUGAGAGGACCUAGAGCAGCGCGAGGAGGGAGGCGGAAGGAAGAGAGAAGGUUGGGAAAGAGACAGCGAGGGAGGAGGAAGAGGAGGGAGCAGCAGGGGCAGCGCGGACGUGGGCUUGGGCGCAGCCGCCCCCCUGGGCGCCCGGGGUCUCCAUCGCCCGCGGAGCCCGAGCGGACUGGGGGAGGGGGAGAUAAGACAAAGGGAAUUCUCCUCCGGGAAGUGCCAAGUGCAUCUGUCCUCUCCUGGCAGGAUGGGGAAACACUGGCAGGAAUUUCCUUGUCGUGAGAAGACCGACGGGCGUCUGCAGCGGUGGAGACAACUACAAACAGACUUGGGGCCGGGAGGAGGGCGGGAGGAGGGGUGGCGGGGGCCAGCUUUGAUCGCUUCAACUCUGUUGUAAUUUUGUCUUCUCCACAUUAGCCAAAAUAGUCAGCCCUAGCUAGGGGUUCUGUUCGGCGGAGUCCCCUCCCCCCCACCCCUCCACCCCCGCGUCCUGUGCACGCGGGGAGCUGGGUCGCAGCUCCUCCCCAGUCGCGCCUGAAACUUCAAGGGCUCCUGGUCCUGUGUUCCUGCCGUAAUUAGGAGGCCACACAGCUCUCCAGCACUGCGUUACACAAGUAUGUGAGUCCUCCUCCCCCUCUCCGGGGACAGACCCGGGGAAGGACGGCAGCUGGGACCGCCCCGGGCGGUGUCCUCCGUUGGGGGAGUGGCUUCGCUGUGACCCCCGGCUGCUCCUCCCGGCCUCGGUCUUUCUAAGCUCUUCCUUAGAAAGUAGAGAAAGGGGCAAAGAAUGUGCAUCUCGCCACCCACCGGACAAGCCAGGCGAGCCUGUGUCUGUGCUUGAAAAGUUUUCUAAAUAAAUUGCUCUGGUGGUUCCA